GAUGAACGCUGGCGGCGUGCCUAAUACAUGCAAGUCGAGCGAACGGACGAGAAGCUUGCUUCUCUGAUGUUAGCGGCGGACGGGUGAGUAACACGUGGAUAACCUACCUAUAAGACUGGGAUAACUUCGGGAAACCGGAGCUAAUACCGGAUGAUAUUUUGAACCGCAUGGUUCAAAAGUGAACGACGGUCUUGCUGUCACUUAUAGAUGGAUCCGCGCUGCAUUAGCUAGUUGGUAAGGUAACGGCUUACCAAGGCAACGAUGCAUAGCCGACCUGAGCGGGUGACCGGCCACACUAGGACUGAGACACGGUCCAGACGCCUACGGGAGGCACCAGUAGGGAAUCUUCCGCAAUGGGCGAAAGCCUGGCGGAGCAACGCCGCGUGAGUGAUGAAGGUCUUCGGAUCGGAAAACUCUGUUAUUAGGGAAGAACAUAUGUGUAAGUAACUGUGCACAUCUUGACGGUACCUAAUCAGAAAGCCACGGCUAACUACGUG
rnacentral:rRNA from 1 species